rnacentral:rRNA from 1 species
AACGAACGCUGGCGGCAUGCCUAACACAUGCAAGUCGAACGAGACCUUCGGGUCUAUUGGCGCACGGCUGCUUAACGCGUGGUAACCUGCCCUUAAGUUCGGUAUAACUCCCCUAAAGGGGUGCUAAUAACGGUUAAUGUCUUCCGGCCAAAGAUGUCUGGCCUCUGGAUGGGCCCGCGUUGGAUUAGCUGGUUGGUAGGGUAAUAGCCUACCAAGGCGAUGAUCCAUAGCUGGUCUGAGAGGAUGAUCAGCCACACUGGGACUGCGACACGGACCAGAAUGCGAGGGGAGGGAGCAGUAGGGAAUAUUGGAGAAGGGGGCAAAGCGUGACACAGCAACGCCGCGGGUGUGAUGAAGGCCUUAGGGUUGUAAAGUUCCUUUAGCCGAGAUGUUAGUGACAGUAACGGGUGAAUAAGCACCGGCUAACUACGUG